UACGGGGGGAGCAAGCGUUGUUCGGAUUUACUGGGCGUAAAGGGCGGGUAGGCGGCCACCGCAAGUCAGUUGUGAAAUCUCCGGGCUUAACCCGGAAAGGUCAACUGAUACUGCGGGGCUAGAGUGCAGAAGGGGCAACUGGAAUUCUCGGUGUAGCGGUGAAAUGCGUAGAUAUCGAGAGGAACACCUGCGGCGAAGGCGGGUUGCUGGGCUGACACUGACGCUGAGGUGCGAAAGCGUGGGGAGCAAACAGG
rnacentral:rRNA from 1 species